rnacentral:rRNA from 1 species
AUGCCCGCAAGGGUGACCCAGCAACGCCGCGUGGAGGAUGAAUGUCGUAAGAUUGUAAACUCCUGUUAGAGGGGAAGAAUAGUACCGGUUGGACCGGUAUAUGACUGUACCCUCAGAGAAAGCCCCGGCUAACUACGUGCCAGCAGCCGCGGUAAUACGUAGGGGGCAAGCGUUGUCCGGAGUUACUGGGUGAAAAGGGCGCGCAGGCGGGAUAAAAAGUCAGUGGUGAAAUCCUACAGCUUAACUGUAGAACUGCCUUUGAUUCUUUUAUUCUUGAGUUCGGGAGAGAGAGACGGAAUUCCAGGUGUAGUGGUGAAAUACGUAGAUAUCUGGAAGAACACCAGUUGCGAAGGCGGUCUCUUGGUCCGACACUGACGAUGAGGCGCGAAAGCGUGGGGAG